rnacentral:rRNA from 1 species
GACGAACGCUGGCGGCGUGCUUAACACAUGCAAGUCGAACGGAAAGGCCCUGCUUGCAGGGUACUCGAGGGGCGAACGGGUGAGUAACACGUGGGUGAUCUGCCCUGCACUUCGGGAUAAGCCUGGGAAACGGGGUCUAAUACCGGAUAGGAGCCACGUUUAGUGUGAUGGUUGGAAAGUUUUUUCGGUGUAGGAUGAGCUCGCGGCCUAUCAGCUUGUUGGUGGGGUAAUGGGCUACCAAGGCGGCGACGGGUAGCCGGCCUGAGAGGGUGGACGGCCACAUUGGGACUGAGGUACGGCCCAGACGCCUACGGGAGGCAGCAGGGGGGAAUAUUGCACAAUGGGCGCAAGCCUGAUGCAGCGACGCCGCGUGGGGGAUGACGGCCUUCGGGUUGUAAACUCCUUUCGCUAGGGACGAAGCUUUUUGUGACGGUACCUAGAUAAGAAGCACCGGCUAACUACGUG